rnacentral:rRNA from 1 species
AACGAACGCUGGCGGCGCGCCUAAUACAUGCAAGUCGAGCGAACAGAUGAGAAGCUUGCUUCUCUGAUGUUAGCGGCGGACGGGUGAGUAACACGUGGGUAACCUACCUAUAAGACUGGGAUAACUCCGGGAAACCGGGGCUAAUACCGGAUAAUAUUUUGAACCGCAUGGUUCAAUAGUGAAAGACGGUUUCGGCUGUCACUUAUAGAUGGACCCGCGCCGUAUUAGCUAGUUGGUAAGGUAACGGCUUACCAAGGCGACGAUACGUAGCCGACCUGAGAGGGCGAUCGGCCACACUGGAACUGAGACACGGUCCAGACUCCUAUGGGAGGCAGCAGUAGGGAAUCUUCCGCAAUGGGCGAAAGCCUGACGGAGCAACGCCGCGUGAGUGAUGAAGGUCUUCGGAUCGUAAAGCUCUGUUGUUAGGGAAGAACAAAUUUGUUAGUAACUGAACAAGUCUUGACGGUACCUAACCAGAAAGCCACGGCUAACUACGUGCCAGCCGCCGCUGUAA